rnacentral:tRNA from 3 species
GCGCUUGUAGCUCAGCUGGAUAGAGCAGUGGACUUCGAAUCCAAAGGUCGCAGGUUCAAAUCCUGCCAGGCGCACCA